UUUUAAAGAUGAGCUUAUGCUGGAGGAGGGUGGACUUCUAAUUCAAUUUGACUGCUGUCCUCAUAAGAAGCCACUCUAUGAAGACACAGAAUAUAGGGAGAAUAUAGGGAGUGGAAAAGGAGGCGAAGUUUGGAGUGAUGCUGUCACAAGCCUAGGAACACCUGGGGCUGCCAGAAGCUGAAAGAGGUGAGGAGGGAUCAUCCCUUAUAAUUUUCAGAGGGACCAUGGCCCUACCAACACCUUGAUUGCAGACUUCGAGCCUCCAGAACUGUGAGAGAAUAAAUUCUGGUUAUUUUAACCCAAAAAUGUAUUUCCACAAGAGUCAAUAGAUACUAUAUAUAAAUAUAUAAACCUUUUUAUUUUGCCUGCACUGUUACAGAACGAAUCAUUGUAUCCCCUACCUGCAAAUUCACAUGUUGAUGUCCUGACCCACAAUGUGGUUGUUAUUAGGAGGCACAGAAGAAAAGUCAGGUGAGCACAGAGUGAGAAGACAGCUGCCUACAAGCCAGGAAAAUAAUCCUUACCAAGAAGCAACCUGUCAGCACCUUGAUCUGAGACAUUCUAGCCUCCAGAAGGGCCCCAAAAGACCAUCCACAUCUGGACCUAGUCACCUGCAUGGGUCACUCUUUGCCUGAGGAACAGAACGGGCUCCAGACACCACCGGAACUCCUUUCUGUUGCUGCUGAUUCUCUACCUUUCCCAGACUCACCACCAUCAUGACAUCAUUAAUACAGUGCCCAGCAUACCAGGCCAAAAUAGCCACAACUGAUGUAAAAGAAGAAGAGGGGAUGUAACACCAGAUCCAUCAUUCCUACCAUAAAGCAUUUGUCAUUGGGGCCUUGAGUAUUGGGAUUAAACAUGGUCUGGCACAUGCCAACUCCUGUAAGAUCUGCACUAAGUCCGUGUAGGACUGCCAUUUGCUCACAGUGUCUGGUAUGUCUCCCUGCACCUGCUCAUACUGUAUGAAUUGCAGCCAUGACCCAUUCCAACAGAGAAUGAGAUCCCUGCCCCCUCCCAUUUCCAUAGCUGUUUUGCAGCCUCUGAUGUAGGGAGGGGUGAGCCAUGAUGCAAGCCAACUUUUCCAUCUCAUUAUGAGUGCACAUAAUAAUGUCUACCCCUAAAUCCCAAAGGCUGGAGCCAUGCUACAAAGGCUCCCCAGGCCACUGCCAAAAUUGCCUUACCAGAUUGAUUAGUUUGUCCUGUAUAUACGGACAAUAACAUGGUGUGAUUCAACCAAGUGGGUCGGGCCAGACAGAUGCCCCCAGGCACCAUGGGCUGCUGGGAUUUCAUCGUCUGUAUCACUACUAGGCAAGCCUGCAGGAAACCCAGUUCCCAUCCCCUUCCUCUUCUGAAUCUGUCACUACUAUCAGGGAGGGGGUCACCAGGGCUCUGCUGAGGACCCCUGCGAUUCUGCUGUUUUGGAGGUCUUCUUCCAGGGCCUAAACCUACGCCUCCAAGGGCUUUGUUCCCUUGAACUCUAGUAACUUCACUGCAUCUGAAGUGCAGUCUCCAUCACACUCGCAAAGCUGUAAGAAACAACCCACCCCAUUGCCCACCCUCCUUGGCCACCAGGGCACUCAGGUUCUCCAGGGUCUCCCCUACCACCUGCAGUGCCCUCUCUACCAUGCUGGUGUAUGCCCACAAACAUUGGGCCAGUCCUGGGGGUGUGAGCCCAAGCUGCAAGGAGCCCUGCCACUGAAUACUACACACUGGUGGCAGGCCACCCCUCUAAUCCCCCUCCCAGAGGUCCUGAUGGCUCCACACCAUACUGCGAGGAAUCCUGCCGACUACACCAAUUGUCCUGUAGCUGUUCAAGGCCAGGUAAGUUCAACAUGAUAUUUGGGCAGACAGAAGAAAAUCACUGAGCUGUCAGGGUACUUAACAUGCCUUUAUUCCGGGGUGGGGUGAUACAUACGUGCCACAAGCUGCAAGUCGCACCACAGGAAGUCCAAACUCCCUGAUAUACUUAGUGCACACAAAGCUGGCAAGGUGCCAAUACUGACCUUCAGUUAUAUAACAGAGCUUCAUUCUAUGCAUGUGGGCCCCUACUCAAGGUCAUACGACACUGUAAGUUAUGUUUCCCUGGACAUCCAGGUGAGGGGAGU